UGAGACUGUUCAGGGUACAAGUGAAUCUUUGCAAUGCCCUAGAUGUAGUGCAGCUGUUCCUGCUCAUCCAGGUGUAUGUGGAAAUUGUGGGGAAAAUGUUUUCCAAUGCCACAAAUGCCGUGCUAUAAAUUAUGAUGAGAAGGAUCCAUUUUU